ACUCCUACGGGAGGCAGCAGUGGGGAAUAUUGCACAAUGGGCGCAAGCCUGAUGCAGCAACGCCGUGUGAGUGAAGAAGGUUUUCGGAUCGUAAAACUCUGUCCUAAGGGAAGAAACAAAUGACGGUACCUUAGGAGGAAGCCCCGGCUAACUACGUGCCAGCAGCCGCGGUAAUACGUAGGGGGCAAGCGUUAUCCGGAAUCACUGGGCGUAAAGGGUGCGUAGGCGGCUUAGCAAGCCAGGGGUGAAAGGCAUUGGCUCAACCAAUGUAAGCCUUUGGAACUGUUAAGCUUGAGUGCAGGAGAGGUAAGUGGAAUUCCUAGUGUAGAGGUGAAAUUCGUAGAUAUUAGGAGGAACACCAGUGGCGAAGGCGACUUACUGGACUGUAACUGACGCUGAUGCACGAAAGCGUGGGUAGCGAACAGGAUUAGAUACCCUGUAGCACAGAG
rnacentral:rRNA from 1 species